GCAUGGGUGAUUCAAUGGUAGAAUUCUCCCCUUCCAUGAAGAAGGCCCAGGUUCGAUUCCUGGCCAAUGCA
rnacentral:tRNA from 1 species